rnacentral:rRNA from 1 species
UUUUUUGGAGAGUUUGAUCCUGGCUCAGGAUGAACGCUGGCGGCGUGCCUAAUACAUGCAAGUCGAGCGGGAGAAUCAUCCUCCGGGAUGAG